ACCUCAGCUGAUGGCAGCAUCCAGAUAACUUUCUCAUCUUGAAAAAUUAAGCAUGAUCAGCCCUGGUUAAUACUUGGAUGAGGACUCCAGGGGAUUCCCAAGGCUGAAGGUU
rnacentral:rRNA from 1 species